AACGAACGCUGGCGGCAUGCCUAACACAUGCAAGUCGAACGAAGGCUUCGGCCUUAGUGGCGCACGGGUGCGUAACACGUGGGAAUCUGCCCUUUGCUUCGGAAUAACAGUUAGAAAUGACUGCUAAUACCGGAUAAUGACUUCGGUCCAAAGAUUUAUCGGCAAAGGAUGAGCCCGCGUAGGAUUAGCUUGUUGGUGGGGUAAUGGCCUACCAAGGCGACGAUCCUUAGCUGGUCUGAGAGGAUGAUCAGCCACACUGGGACUGAGACACGGCCCAGACUCCUACGGGAGGCAGCAGUGGGGAAUAUUGGACAAUGGGCGAAAGCCUGAUCCAGCAAUGCCGCGUGAGUGAUGAAGGCCUUAGGGUUGUAAAGCUCUUUUACCAGGGAUGAUAAUGACAGUACCUGGAGAAUAAGCUCCGGCUAACUCCGUGCCAGCCGCCGCCGUAAAAC
rnacentral:rRNA from 1 species